CCUGGUGUCUCAGAUGGUAAAGAACCUGCCUGAAAUGCAGGAGACCUGGGUAUGAUCCCUGAGUCAGGA
rnacentral:tRNA from 1 species